GAAAUGUAGUCUUUUAUAACAAUGUAUUAAAGAAGAUGAAUUCUGACAAGGCUAUUAAAAUGAUAUGAGGGAGAAUCUUCCUUCAGUUCAGGAAGCUAAGGUUCUUAUUUUAGAAUUACUCUGACCAUUAAACAGACACGGUUAAGGACACCUAUAAGAAAAUUGGAUAUAUUACCUUAUUAAAAGAAAAAAGGGAAUGACAUUGGAUGCUUUCUUCACAUUUACCCUGCCUCUUAUGGCUGAUGUUGACAGGACUGUGAGUUUGCCAAGCGGCUACAGAGGUAGUGAUGAGCAGAUGGUUAAACUAACCUGCCAAAAAUCUCUUGAAAGUCAUUCAACAAAAUGUGGUAGAGCAGCAGACCGUCUGGCACGACAGGAUAUACACGGACGGCAAAGACGGUUGCUUUAGUCAGCACAUCAAAUCAUUUUAAAAUUGCUUAAGGUUCUGUAAUAAACACAUCUAUGAUGAGGCAAAAAUAUUCCCUAAUGUUGGCUGCAUAAACAAAAUAACUAAAGCAGCACCAGUGGAACCAAAUACUUCCAGUGUGGUAUUACUUAUUCAAAAGAAAAAAAAAAAACAUUUAAGUUAUCCUUAUAAGGUGUGCUGUAGUGGCGCAGGGGUUAAGCACAACCCACAUAUGGAGGCUUUAGUCCUCGACGCGGCUGUAGCAGGUUUGAUUGCCAGCCUUGGCGACCUUUGCUGCAUGUCUUCCCCCUUCUCUCAUUGCCCACUUUCCUGAUGAACAUGUUG